rnacentral:rRNA from 1 species
GAGGAAGGAGAAGUCGUAACAAGCGUUCCGUAGGUGAACCUGCGGAAGGAUCAUUG